GGGUGGUGUGUACCAUCCCUGAUGAGUCCAAAAGGACGAAAUGG
rnacentral:hammerhead_ribozyme from 1 species